rnacentral:lncRNA from 1 species
GACGACAUUAUAGGUUUGCGCGCCGAUGAGUUUGAAAUCGUCGCAGAAGCUAUGCAAAGCAGGUUUACUAGCCACAACUUCUUGUACAGAAUCAUUGACCUUUACUUUCAGGUACGUUCUUGAAACUUCAAAAAUGGUUUGUUGAUACUGGGCCAUGCAAAUGAUAACUGGAAUUAUGGUGAAUUAACAGCAACAUAAUGGUAAGAUGACAGAAGAACAAAAGACUUACAUAUGCAAUUUCAUAGACUGUGACAAACUCUCGCCUCAAUUCCUUAUACAAGCAGUACAAAACCCUAUUCUCCCAUUAAGAUUCGUAGUCCGGGCAAUGUUAAUCGAACAGCUGAACACCCGCCGAGCAAUCUUCACUACCUCCGCUGC